rnacentral:rRNA from 1 species
CGCCUGGUUAUCAAAAACAUUUCUUUUCGUAGGCUGUGAGGUAUUGCCUGCCCAGUGAUUUAGUUAAACGGCUGCGGUUUUAUAAUUGUACUAAGGUAGCGUUAUAAUUUGUCUUUUAAUUGAAGACUUGAAUGAAUGGUAAGACCUUAACUUAAUUUCUUUUGAUAAAAAAUUGAAUUUGAAUUUUAAGUGAUAAUGCUUAAAUGUAUUAGUGGGGCGAUAAGACCCUAAAAGCUUGAUGUUUGAUUUAGUCUUUAAUAAUAGGUUAAUAAUAAUAUUUUGCUGGGGCAGCAAUUUUAAUAAAAUUAAUAGUUAGAGUUACUGAGAAGGUAUAAAGGUCCUUUAGAUAAGGAAAUAUGGGGUAAGUUACUUUAGGGAUAACAGCGUAAUAAAUUUGAAGAGACCAUAUUGAUGAAUUUGAUUGCGACCUCGAUGUUGAAUUAAGGUUUCUUUAUGUAGUAAAAGAUAUAUAAGAGGGUUUGUUCAACCUUUAAAUCCUUACAUGAUCUGAGUUCAACCCC